AGUAGGUUCAACUUGCUCAUUUGCCAAAUCCUUCAGCAGCUUUCAAAGCCAAAUUGACUGGUUAGCAGCAGCAGCAGCAGAGAUUUAUUCAGCCUCUGCAGUACAUUGAGCUACCACCUCUUGCUUCUUUUUCCAUGAAAAUGGACCUGAUCCCAAUGAGAACACGUACCCAGAAGUGCUUCUCAUAUCAUCCAUACAGCCUGCCCAAUCACUAUCUACAUAUCCCUCUAGCUUUAGGUCUUCACCUUUCAGAUACCAAAUCCCAUGGUCUGCUGUGCCGUUUAAAUAUCUCAAAACUCUUUUUGCAGCAAGGUGACCCAAACUUGGUGAAUACAUAAAUCUAGACAAUAGACUUGCAGAAUACAUCAAGUCAGGUCUUGUGGCUGUAAGAUACAAUAAACUUCCAAUUAAACUUCUAUAUUCUGUUGCUUCAGCCUUUUCAAUCCCAUCAUUCUUGCUUAAUUUCUCAUUUACCACAAGUGAAGCUGCUACUGAUUUGCAUUGAUCCAUCUUGAAUUUUUUCAAGAUAUCAAGAGCAUAUUUUCUUUGUGAAAUAAAAGUGCCCAAAAAAUAAGUCAUCAUUCCCAAAUCUGACAUUUCAAAUUCAGAUUGCAUUUGCUGCUUAAAUUCUUUUAACUGAAAAUCACUACCCGUUACAAGCAUAUCAUCCACAUACAAGGAUACUAUCAAUUGUUUCCCAUCAUCACAGGUUUUAACAUACAAAGUAGCUUCAUUUUCACUCCUCCUGAAUCCAUGAUGAAUCAAGUGCGUGUCUAUUCUUGAAUACCAGGCUCUAGGGGCUUGUUUCAGCCCAUAUAAUGCUUUCUUAAGCUUGUACACCUUAUCUUCUUGCCCCAACACUUCAUAACCCUUAGGUUGACUCACAUAGAUUUCCUCAAUCAGUAUUCCAUUUAGAAAUGCAGAUUUCACAUCUAAAUGAAACACUUUCCAUCCCUUUUGAGCUGACAUAGCUAAUAACAACCUGAUGGUGUCAUGUCUAGCAACAGGAGCAAAUGUGUCUCCAAAAUCAACUCCAGGCUGCUGUGCAUAGCCUUUCACAACUAGUCUAGCCUUAUGUUUGAAAAUUGAUCCAUCAGGAUUAAGCUUGGUUCUAAAAAUCCAUUUCAAACCAAUUAAAUUUUUUUCUUUUGGUUUUGAAGUGAGUUCCCAAGUUUGAUUCCUCUCAAUUGCAUCAAUCUCUGCAUCCAUUGCUUGCCUCCAUUCUAUGAAUUGAGAAGCUUCUUGAUAGUUGAUUGGCUCAACAAAAACUAGAUUACACCUCUCAUAGAUUUCAAACAGUGGCUUGGUCUUCUGCACCCUUUCAUUAUCUUCAUAAUCCAUUUCUUGACUGACAUUAGAUUCAACUGGCCUUCCUUCUUUAUUGCUAAAAGAGCUUUCCUUGUGAAUUGAGACAUACUUCUUCAUAAUCUUCUGCUCAUUCCAGUUCCAAAGAGCAUCCUCAUCAAAUUGAACAUCUCUACAUAUCACUAUUUUUUUUUUUGUUUUUACAUUGUGGAGUUUAUAACCUUUGGAUUGAGCUGCAUACCCCAAGAAAAUGCCUAGCUCAGCCUUGUCAUCAAGUUUACUUCUUUUAAUAGCAGGAACAUGCAUAUAACAAAUUGAACCAAACACUUUUAGAUGCUUAGCAGAGGGUUUUGAUCCAAACAAAGCUUCUAUAGGUGUCGUUCCAUCAACUGACCUUGUAGGCAGCCUGUUUAAUAAAUAAGUUGCUGUAUAAAUAGUCUCGGCCCAGAACUCUUUUGGAAGCUCCUUCUCCUUCAACAUACUCUGGCCAUUUCAACAAUGGUUCUAUUUUUCCUCUCUGAAACACCGUUCUGCUGUGGUGAGUAAGGUACAGUCAAAUGGUAAACUAUUGCAGCCUCUUCACAAAAUUUUUCAAAUUCAACAGAGGUAUAUUCUUUGCCAUUAUCUGACCUCAAGGUCUUAAUUGUACAUCCACUUUGCUUUUCAACUAAGGCUUUGAAUUUUUUGAACACACUGAAUACUUGUGCUUUGCUCUUAAUGAAAUACACCCAAGUCAUUCUAGUUAAAUCAUCUAUAAACAAGAUGAAAUACUUAUUUUGACUCAGGAAGGGCACACUCAUAGGGCCACAAACAUCAGUGUGCACUAGUUCUAAUUUCUCUUUGGCUCUCCACAUUAAAUCACUUGGAAAAGAUUGCUUAUGAAGCUUACCAUACUGACAACUAUCACAAAUCUCACCACUGACACUUAUAGAAGGAAUAUCCCUCACCAUACUAUGAGUUUGCAUAAACUUCAGAGAAGCAAGAUUAAAAUGCCCAUAUCUCUUAUGCCACAACCAAGUUUCGUCAACCUUUGAACUAUAAACAUGCUGAUUCAAGCUUUCAGAUAUUAAUGGAAAACUAUUUUCAACCAUUUUAAUCUUAGCAACUUCACAAUUUUCAGAAUCACGAAUAUGGCACCAAAGAUUUUUAAACAGAAGAGAGUAUCCCUUUUUCAACAUUUGUGCCACACUUAAUAAAUUUUGAUCUAAACUUGGAAUGAAGAGAACAUCAGAAAUGUAUUUGGUACCUUUUCUAGUCUGCAUAGCAAUGGUACCUUUGCCUUCAGCCUGGACCAUCUCUCCAUUACCAAGCUUCACUUUAGUUCUCACUGAUUUGUCUAGAGAAGUAAAAAGAUCCUUAUUUCUGGCCAUGUGACUUGUACAACCACUAUCAAUGAUCCAUGUGAGUUUGUCUACUUGUUUAAGUGACUGUGAAGCCAUGAAUAAAUGAUCAUCUUGCUGCCUGGACUGAUCAUUAGUGAAAUUUGCUUAUUUAGUGGGUUGUUGAGUUUUACUUUGCUUGAAUUUGCAAUCUCUUGAAAUGUGACCAUAUUUUUUGCAAUAGUGACAUUGUACAGGCUUUACACGAUUCUUUUGCCAAUAAUCCUUCUCCAGAUGAUUUGUUCUUUUACAAGUAGGACAAGGUGGAAAUCUGCCCUUCUUGACAGCUUCACUUCCACUUUUAGGUUGCUUCACUUCCACUUUCAGGUUGCUUCCCUUUGUUAUCUCUCUCUUUUGAAUCUUUCUUAACCUCCAUUACUUGCUUUCCUUUCUGUUUGGCAACAAAUGCCUCCUCAAAAGCAUCUUCUUCUCUAAUAAUUCUUCUUUGCUCAAUGGCUUGCAAGGAACUUAUAAGUUCAGGUAAGGUGAUCUUGCUCAAACCCUUUGAAUCUUCAAAAGAUGAGAUUUUGGGUUCAAAUCUGUCAGGCCCUUAAAGAUCAUAAGGAGCUCUGAUACCAUUUGUUGCAAUUUCUGAACUGAAAAUUGCUAGAAAAGAACAAAGAAAAAAGUGAUUCUUCUUAUAAACUUCUCUCAGUAGCUGCAACGCGCGACGUUCAUCUUCCUCAGAGCCAUCCCUAGAUGUGGAUCCCAGUAGCAAUGGUAAACAGCUGUUAGAUGAAACAGGGGGGAGUUUAUCGAAGUCGUGUGGUUCCAGGUUUGGCAGUAGUUCGGAGCUAGAAUCGAGGGGCCACCUGAAUAACAGCAACACAGCGGCCAACAAUCAGCACGCAAAAUGGCUGUAAAAAUGGAAGUUCCCAAGAGAUUACAAUCCAAUUACCUUUGCACGGAGAGUAGCCUGAACCACGCAUUAACUCCUCUUUGUGCCCCCUGCCAAAAGAAACCAUAGCCCACGAUUGCACUCAGUCGACCAAAUUUGCAGCUUUCGAUGACCCUCUGGCAGCAUUUGUUUCUCAUGAUUUUCUCGAGAAUCCAGAUUUGUGUCCCUCUCCCAUCGAUUUAGAGUCUUUGGAAUUAUUUGAAUCUGUUUCUAAGCCAAUAGAAAAUGCUUUAGCCAUUUUACCUUCAAGGCCGCAUAUUAAUCUAAGUCUAAUCCUCUAACCUUUUUCUUUGGUGUCUCCCCAACCCCACUUCCCUCCUUUACAGGUCAAAGAAGGUGGGUCCACGGAUGAUGGACCUUCUGGUUGUGAUAAUUCCCUAGCUGUCAUCCCUUUAGAGAACCAAGGCACAACUCUUCCCUGUCCCUCUCUUCUCCCCAGCAAAAUCAAAAUCUAAGGACUUUUUAAGCAAAGAAGGAAGACUAGAACUCGUUCCUUAACAGAUCUUUUUGAUGCAUCACCAAAAUUAUGCCGUGAAGAAAAAAUAAAGAAACUGGCCAAAGGCAAGAAAAUUGUGAAACCCACCGAUAGUGACAUAGGUAGGAUGAACAUGCGCCACUCGAAGCCUAAAUCCCCAGUUACUACAAAGGUUGCCUUACUUGAUGGAAAGGAGGGGACGUUGCAGACUUUGAUGAUAGGCAAGCAUCUUGGGUUGACCUUUUCUGAGGAUGACUCUACAAAAAUUGAAAUUUUUAUGAACCAGAUUGAAGCAGACAGGGUAAUGUUCAACAAUGCUGAGUGUUGACACAUUUGUUUCUUUCCUAAAGUGUCCGAUUGAAUCAAAUUUCAUGUUGGUUAUUGUACUUGGGAUGAUUUUUUAAGUUGGAUUUUUAGCCUCAGAGUCUUCACAGUAUGGUCUAUUAUAGUUGGGUGGCUAUCUAUACGAUUCGCUGGUUGGUCUCUUCGCACUAGAGGCUUCCAUUGUUUGGCUCGAUCGUUAAUCGUCCGUCUUGAUGUGUUGCAGAUUUGGCGCCAUGCUGCUGUGCUGUUGUGUGCAAAUGUUUGCGCUAGUUCUCCUUUUUGAGCUAAUCUUGUUAGUUUUGCGUCGUUUACGCAGUUUCAUUUGUUGUUUCUUGGUCUGGUUUGCGUCCUUUUGUCCCUUGUUUAUGGUUUGUUUCAGUUCUGUUUUGUAGUUAGGUUGUCCUUUUUGGCUUCUUGCCUUUAUCUAUUAAUAAAUUUCAGCUUAUAAAAAAAAAUCAAUAAAAAAUAUUUAACUAUACACCCUUCAUAA